UGGUCACCUGCACUAAGAGCCUGAGAGAAAAGGACACUGCAUAUAUCACAGAGAGAUGCAUAGGUGUUACACUCAGAAAGAGAGUGAACAACUAGAAGAUGUGGAAGAAAAUUCCAAGGGCCAAUUUUGAAACAAACCAGGCAGAGAGACCCAGAUGCAGAAUCCUGCAGGCUGAGGGAUGUCAGGAAGAGUUAGCCCACCACUGCUGCGCUGAAACCAGGAUGAUGCAAACUGGGCCUCAGGCCAGGCAAGUUCUCAAGAUAAUCAUGGAAACAAGACACACAGACCUGCACCCUCCUGCGCCACGUCCACAUGUUUCCCACACCAAAUUUUCCUUCUUAAACCCCUUCACUCAGCCCAAAAAGUUGGUAUGGUCCUUUAAAGGCAAGAGCCUGCCCUUCCCCAGUUGCUAGCAUUUGAAUAAAUUCUCUUUCCUUUUACUCACACCUCACUUCUCAUGUUUUCCAUCUCUGAGAGGCAAGCAGCCUGACUUGAGCUGUUUACUGUGACAUUUCUUUACGUCUAAAACUAUUCUAAAAUAAAAAGUUUAUUUAAGAGCAUUGAAA